rnacentral:rRNA from 1 species
GUACCGAUAGAGUGAACCUGCGGAAGGAUGCAUGUACCUAGAAGUGGUUAGUGCUUUGCCUACCAUCUCUUACCCAUGUUUCUUUUGAGUACCUUCGUUUCCUCGGCGGGUCCGCCCGCCGAUUGGACAAACUUAAACCCUUUGUAAUUGAAAUCAGCGUCUGAAAAAACAUUAAUAGUUACAACUUUCAACAACGGAUCUCUUGGUUCUGGCAUCGAUGAACGAACGCAGCGAAAUGCAAUAAGUAUGUGAAUAGCAGAAUUCAGUGAAUCAUCGAAUCUUUGAACGCACAUUGCGCCCCUUGGUAUUCCAUGGGGCAUGCCUGUACGAGCGUCAUUUGUACCUUCAAGCUCUGCUUGGUGUGGGGUGUAUGUCUCGCCUCUGCGUGUAGACUCGCCUCAAAACAAUGGGCAGCCGGCGUAUUGAUAUCGGAGCGCAGUACAUCUCGCGCUUUGCACUCAUAACGACGACGUCCAUAAAGUACUUUUUACACUCUUGACCUCGGAUCAGGUAUGGAUA